rnacentral:rRNA from 1 species
GACGAACGCUGGCGGCGCGCCUAACACAUGCAAGUCGAACGAGCGAGAGGAGGUUUACUUUCUCAAGCGAGUGGCGAACGGGUGAGUAACGCGUGAGGAACCUGCCUCAAAGAGGGGGACAACAGUUGGAAACGACUGCUGAUACCGCAUAAGCCCACGACCCGGCAUCGGGUAGAGGGAAAAGGAGCAAUCCGCUUUGAGAUGGCCUCGCGUCCGAUUAGCUAGUUGGUGAGGUAAUGGCCCACCAAGGCGACGAUCGGUAGCCGGACUGAGAGGUUGAACGGCCACAUUGGGACUGAGACACGGCCCAGACUCCUACGGAAGGCAGCAGUGGGGAAUAUUGCACAAUGGGGGAAACCCUGAUGCAGCGACGCCGCGUGGAGGAAGAAGGUCUUCGGAUUGUAAACUCCUGUUGUUGAGGAAGAUAAUGACGGUACUCAACAAGGAAGUGACGGCUAACUACG